GACGAACGCUGGCGGCGUGCCUAAUACAUGCAAGUUGAGCGCUGAAGGUUGGUACUUGUACCAACUGGAUGAGCAGCGAACGGGUGAGUAACGCGUGGGGAAUCUGCCUUUGAGCGGGGGACAACAUUUGGAAACGAAUGCUAAUACCGCAUAAAAACUUUAAACACAAGUUUUAAGUUUGAAAGAUGCAAUUGCAUCACUCAAAGAUGAUCCCGCGUUGUAUUAGCUAGUUGGUGAGGUAAAGGCUCACCAAGGCGAUGAUACAUAGCCGACCUGAGAGGGUGGUCGGCCACAUUGGGACUGAGACACGGCCCAAACUCCUACGGGAGGCAGCAGUAGGGAAUCUUCGGCAAUGGACGGAAGUCUGACCGAGCAACGCCGCGGGGGGGAAGGAGGUUGUCGGAUCGUAAAACUCUGUUGGUAGAGAAGAACGUUGGUGGGAGUGGAAAGCGCAUCAAGUGACGGUAACUACCCAGAAAGGGACGGCUAACUACGUG
rnacentral:rRNA from 1 species